GGUUAAGCUACUAAGAGCACACGGUGGAUGCCUAGGCGCUAGGAGCCGAUGAAGGACGUGGCGAACAACGAUAAAGCCUCGGGGAGCUGUAAGCAAGCUGUGAUCCGGGGAUGUCCGAAUGGGGAAACCUAACUGGAUUCAUCUCCAGUUACUCACACCUGAAUACAUAGGGUGUGCAGAGGCAGACGAGGGGAACUGAAACAUCUAAGUACCCUCAGGAAAAGAAAACAAGAGUGAUUCCGUCAGUAGCGGCGAGCGAACGCGGAACAGCCCAAACCAAGAAGCUUGCUUCUUGGGGUUGUGGGACGUCUCUUUGGAGUUACAAAGGAAUGAGGUAGGCGAAGAGGUCUGGAAAGGCCCGCAAGACAAGGUGAAAGCCCUGUAGCUUAAAUCUCAUUCUCUCCGAGACGGAUCCCGAGUAGUGCGGGGCACGUGAAACCCCGUAUGAAUCUGCCAGGACCAUCUGGUAAGGCUAAAUACUCCCUAGCGACCGAUAGUGAAGCAGUACCGUGAGGGAAAGGUGAAAAGGACCCCGGAAGGGGAGUGAAAUAGAACCUGAAACCGUGUGCUUACAAAAAGUCAGAGCCCUAUGAAUGGGUGAUGGCGUGCCUUUUGUAGAAUGAACCGGCGAGUUACGUUCCCGUGCAAGGUUAAGGUGAAAAGCCGGAGCCGCAGCGAAAGCGAGUCUGAAUAGGGCGACUGAGUACGUGGACGUAGACCCGAAACCAGGUGAUCUACCCCUGUCCAGGGUGAAGGUACGGUAACACGUACUGGAGGCCCGAACCCACGCACGUUGAAAAGUGCGGGGAUGAGGUGGGGGUAGCGGAGAAAUUCCAAUCGAACCUGGAGAUAGCUGGUUCUCCCCGAAAUAGCUUUAGGGCUAGCCUCGGAAGUUGAGUCGUGGAGGUAGAGCACUGAUUGGAUGCGGGGCCCGCAAGGGUUACCAAGUUCAGUCAAACUCCGAAUGCCACAGACUUUAUUCCGGGAGUCAGACAGUGAGUGCUAAGAUCCAUUGUCGAAAGGGAAACAGCCCAGACCAUCAGCUAAGGUCCCCAAGUGUGUGUUAAGUGGGAAAGGAUGUGAAGUUGCACAGACAACCAGGAUGUUGGCUUAGAAGCAGCCACCAUUGAAAGAGUGCGUAAUAGCUCACUGGUCGAGUGACUUUGCGCCGAAAAUGUAACGGGGCUAAACACACCACCGAAGCUAUGGCUUGAUACUUUGUAUCAGGGGUAGGGGAGCGUUGAAUGAAGAUUGAAGGUGUACCGCAAGGAGCGCUGGACCUCAUUCAAGUGAGAAUGCCGGUAUGAGUAACGAAAAGAUCAGUGAGAAUCUGAUCCGCCGAAAACCCAAGGAUUCCUGAGGAAGGCUCGUCCUCUCAGGGUAAGUCGGGACCUAAGGCGAGGCCGAAAGGCGUAGUCGACGGACAACAGGUUGAAAUUCCUGUACCACCGAAAGCCGUUAUGAGCAAUGGGAUGACGCAGGAGGAUAGUGACGCGGACUGAUGGAUGUCCGUUCAAGCAGUGAGGCUGAUAUGUAGGCAAAUCCGCAUAUCGCAAGGCCAGGCUGUGAUGAGGAGCGAAAAUUGUAGUAGCGAAGGUCAUGAUUUCACACUGCCAAGAAAAGUCUCUAGCCAGGAAGCAGGUGCCCGUACCGUAAACCGACACAGGUGGGUGAGAAGAGAAUUCUAAGGCGCGCGGAAGAACUCUCGUUAAGGAACUCGGCAAAAUGACCCCGUAACUUCGGGAGAAGGGGUGCCCCGGUAGUGUGAAUAGCACGAGGGGGCCGCAGUGAAAAGGCCCAAGCGACUGUUUAGCAAAAACACAGGUCUGUGCGAAGCCGCAAGGCGAAGUAUACGGGCUGACGCCUGCCCGGUGCUGGAAGGUUAAGGGGAGUGGUUAGCGCAAGCGAAGCUAUGAACCGAAGCCCCAGUAAACGGCGGCCGUAACUAUAACGGUCCUAAGGUAGCGAAAUUCCUUGUCAGGUAAAUUCUGACCCGCACGAAUGGCGUAACGAUUUGGGCGCUGUCUCAACGAGAGAUCCGGUGAAAUUUUAAUACCUGUGAAGAUGCAGGUUACCCGCGACAAGACGGAAAGACCCCAUGGAGCUUUACUGCAACUUGAUAUUGAACUGGGGUGCGAUUUGUACAGGAUAGGUGGGAGCCGUAGAAACCGGAGCGCAAGCUUCGGUUGAGGCGCCGUUGGGAUACCACCCUGAUCGCAUUUGAGUUCUAACCUCGUACCGUGAUCCGGUACAGGGACCGUGUCAGGUGGGCAGUUUGACUGGGGCGGUCGCCUCCUAAAGUGUAACGGAGGCGCCCUAAGGUUCCCUCAGAAUGGUUGGAAAUCAUUCGAAGAGUGUAAAGGCAUAAGGGAGCUUGACUGCGAGACAGACACGUCGAGCAGGGACGAAAGUCGGGCUUAGUGAUCCGGUGGUACCGCAUGGAAGGGCCAUCGCUCAACGGAUAAAAGCUACCCUGGGGAUAACAGGCUUAUCUCCCCCAAGAGUCCACAUCGACGGGGAGGUUUGGCACCUCGAUGUCGGCUCAUCGCAUCCUGGGGCUGAAGUAGGUCCCAAGGGUUGGGCUGUUCGCCCAUUAAAGCGGUACGCGAGCUGGGUUCAGAACGUCGUGAGACAGUUCGGUCCCUAUCUGUCGUGGGCGUAGGAAAUUUGAGAGGAGCUGUCCUUAGUACGAGAGGACCGGGAUGGACGCACCGCUGGUGUACCAGUUGUUCCGCCAGGAGCAUCGCUGGGUAGCUACGUGCGGAAGGGAUAAGCGCUGAAAGCAUCUAAGCGUGAAGCCCCCCUCAAGAUGAGAUUUCCCAGUAUGUAAGACCCCUUGUAGACGACGAGGUUGAUAGGUUGGGGGUGGAAGUGCCGCAAGGCAUGGAGCUGACCAAUACUAAUCGGUCGAGGGCUUAUCCAA
rnacentral:rRNA from 1 species